rnacentral:rRNA from 1 species
AUGGCGUCCGUCGCAUUAAAGCUCUCACGGUCACCGUUCGCUGGGGCAGCCGCCAAUUCCGGCCGCUUCGCUCGUAGCCUGCGCGGCCGCGAUCGCACUGGAGAUACCACCCUAACCGCCCCCUCGGACUUCUUCCUCCGGCGCAGCAUCGCUACGAUCCCCUCCGGCGAGGACCCCCAUCUGCCUGUGGGCGCCGCACAAGAUGACCUCGACGACGAGCUCCGCCCUGGUAAUCAAUCAAUCUUUAAUCUCCGUAUUCUUUACACAUCUUGGUUGUCAGCACGCAUUACGGUUUUCGUUUCUGUGACAACGCAAGACCCGGACACCGUUCCCUACUUCGACGAGAAGGACCUCGUCUCGGACGAAACCCUGUGGGCUCUGUACGAGCGGUGGUGCCGCUUCCAUGGAAUGGCGCGCGACCACGACGAGAUGACUCGGCGAUUUGGUCGUUUCAAGUUCAAGGCGCGGCAUGUCUACGAGUUCAACAAAUCCGGUAGGAGCUACACCAAGGGGCUCACCCAGUUCUCCGAUUUGGAGCCAGGGGAGUUCUUCGCCCCUCGUCGCUGUCCCAGGACUCACAGAACUGGUAGUCGUUUCUUCACCAACGACAGGGAUGAGGUCACGGCGAUCUGUACCGACGGGUGUCUUGAAAAAUAUGAGGGCCCCGUUUGGAUAAUCCGUAAUGUUAAGGAUUCCUGA